GCACGGGGAGGUAGUGACGAAAAAUAACGAUACGGGACUCAUCCGAGGCCCCGUAAUCGGAAUGAGUAUACUCUAAAUCCUUAUACGAGUAUCAAUUGGAGGGCAAGUCUGGUGCCAGCAGCCGCGGUAAUUCCAGCUCCAAUAGCGUAUAUUAAAGUUGUUGCGGUUAAAAAGCUCGUAGUUGGAUCUGUGUCCCGCGCCGUCGGUUCACCGCCUGUCGGUGUUCAACUGGCGUGUAUGCGGGACGUCCUGCCGGUGGUGGUCCGGUUCCCCGUAGGUUCGUAGGGGUCGUCCUUGCUUGCAUGCGGCGUCCCCGAAGGCCUGCGUGGUGUAUCCGGCCGCCUUUUCGAUCCCGUCGCGGUGCUCUUCACCGAGUGUCGAGGCGGGCCGGCACGUUUACUUUGAACAAAUUAGAGUGCUUUAAGCAGGCCCUGUCAUGCCUGUAUGUUGUGUGCAUGGAAUAAUGGAAUAGGACCUCGGUUCUAUUUUGUUGGUUUUCGGAAUCUGAGGUAAUGAUCAAUGGGGACAGGCGGGGGCAUUCGUAUUGCGACGUUAGAGGUGAAAUUCUUGGAUCGUCGCAAGACGGACCGAAGCGAAAGCAUUUGCCAAGUAUGUUCUCGUCGAUCAAGAACGAAAGUUAGAGGUUCGAAGGCGAUCAGAUACCGCCCUAGUUCUAACCAUAAACUAUGCCUGCCAGCGAUCCGCCGAAGUUCCUCCGAUGACUCGGCGGGCAGCUUCCGGGAAACCAGAGCUUUUGGGUUCCGGGGGAAGUAUGGUUGCAAAGCUGAAACUUAAAGGAAUUGACGGAAGGGCACCACCAGGAGUGGAGCCUGCGGCUUAAUUUGACUCAACACGGGAAAACUCACCAGGCCCGGACACCGGAAGGAUUGACAGAUUGAGAGCUCUUUCUUGAUUCGGUGGGUGGUGGUGCAUGGCCGUUCUUAGUUGGUGGAGCGAUUUGUCUGGUUAAUUCCGAUAACGAACGAGACUCUAGCCUACUAACUAGGCGUACCCGGUAUCCACAAUCGUGCUACCGGCGAUCAAAUUUCUUCUUAGAGGGACAGGCGGCUUCUAGCCGCACGAGACUGAGCAAUAACAGGUCUGUGAUGCCCUUAGAUGUCCUGGGCCGCACGCGCGCUACACUGAAGGAAUCAGCGUGUCUUCCCUGUCCGAAAGGACCGGGUAAUCCGCUGAACCUCCUUUGUGCUAGGGAUUGGGGCUUGCAAUUGUUCCCCAUGAACGAGGAAUUCCCAGUAAGCGCGAGUCAUAAGCUCGCGUUGAUUACGUCCCUGCCCUUUGUACACACCGCCCGUCGCUACUACCGAUUGAAUGAUUUAGUGAGGUCUUCGGACUGGUGCGCGGAGGCCGCCUCGCGGUCUCCGAUGUUGCCGGAAAGAUGACCAAA
rnacentral:rRNA from 1 species